GCCUGGGGAGUACGGUCGCAAGACUGAGACUUAAAGGAAUUGGCGGGGGAGCACCACAAGGGGUGAAGCCUGCGGUUCAAUUGGAGUCAACGCCGGGAAUCUUACCGGGGGAGACAGCAGAGUGAAGGUCAAGCUGAAGACUUUACCAGACAAGCUGAGAGGAGGUGCAUGGCCGUCGCCAGCUCGUGCCGUGAGGUGUCCUGUUAAGUCAGGUAACGAGCGAGAUCCCUGCCUCUAGUUGCUACCUUUACUCUCAGGAGUCGAGGGGCUAAUUAGAGGGACCGCCGCCGCUGAGGCGGAGGAAGGAGGGGGCUACGGCAGGUCAGUAUGCCCCGAAACCCUCGGGCCACACGCGGGCUGCAAUGGUAAGGACAAUGGGUGUCGAUUCCGAAAGGAGGAGGUAAUCCCUAAACCUUACCCCAGUUAUGAUUGAGGGCUGAAACUCGCCCUCAUGAAUAUGGAAUCCCUAGUAAUCGCGUGUCAUCAUCGCGCGGUGAAUACGUCCCUGCUCCUUGCACACACCGCCCGUCGCUUCAUCGAAGUUGGUUUUAGGCGAGGUAGUGCGAUUUGGCAUUAUCGAACCUGAGGUCAGCAACGAGGGAGAAGUCGUAACAAGGUGGCCGUAGGGGAACCUGCGGCUGGAUCACCUC
rnacentral:rRNA from 1 species